UUGAUAUUGAGGCAAAGUAUGUGAAAACAUAUGACGCAAAACUAUAGGGACUGUAGAAUGUCAGCCAGUUGCAGUA
rnacentral:ncRNA from 1 species